UACGUAGGGUGCAAGCGUUGUCCGGAAUUAUUGGGCGUAAAGAGCUCGUAGGCGGUUUGUCGCGUCUGCUGUGAAAACUCAGGGCUUAACCCUGAGCCUGCAGUGGGUACGGGCAGACUAGAGUGUGGUAGGGGAGAUCGGAAUUCCUGGUGUAGCGGUGGAAUGCGCAGAUAUCAGGAGGAACACCGGUGGCGAAGGCGGAUCUCUGGGCCAUAACUGACGUUGAGGAGCGAAAGCAUGGGGAGCGAACAGG
rnacentral:rRNA from 1 species